AGCACCAGGCUUUGCCCAAACAGAUGAUACAGCAGCCGCCAUGAUUGGAUUCUUCUUCUCUUCUUCUCUUCUUCUGCUUCUUCUUCUUCUUCUUCUCUUCUCUUCGUGUGAAUCAAAAA
rnacentral:sRNA from 1 species